AAGACGAGGCCGAAAGGCGUAGCCGAUGGACAACAGGUUGAUAUUCCUGUACCACCUAUAUAACUGAUGGAGUGACGAAGGAGGCUAUAGAAAGCCAGUUAAUGGAUUCUGGUCUAAGCACAAAGGCGUACAUAUAGGCAAAUCCGUAUGUAAUGUAGCUGAAGUGUUAUGGUGAAGGUAAUAGCGAUAUUACUGAAAUUUCUAGACGCCAAACUUCCAAGAAAAGCUUCUAGGGUUAAUUAUAUAGGUGCCCGUACCCAGAACCGACACAGGUAGGCAAGGAGAGUAUCCUAAGGUGAGCGAGAGAACUAUGGUUAAGGAACUCGGCAAAAUGACCCCGUAACUUCGGGAGAAGGGGUGGUCUAGCGAUAGACCCGCAGUAAAGAGUCCCAGGCAACUGUUUACCAAAAACACAGCUCUCUGCUAAAUCGAAAGAUGAUGUAUAGGGGGUGACACUUGCCCAGUGCUGGAAGGUUAAGAGGAGAGGUUAGUAAUGACUUCGGUUAUAUUUACGAAGCUUCGAAUUGAAGCCCCAGUGAACGGCGGCCGUAACUAUAACGGUCCUAAGGUAGCGAAAUUCCUUGUCAGGUAAGUUCUGACCCGCACGAAAGGUGUAAUGAUCUGGGCACUGUCUCAACCAUAGACUCGGUGAAAUCUUAAUACCUGUGAAAAUGCAGGUUACCCGCGACAGGACGGAAAGACCCCAUGGAGCUUUACUGUAGCUUGAUAUUGGAUCUCGAUGUGUUAUGUAGAGGAUAGGUGGGAGACUAUGAUGUUAGGACGCUAGUUCUAACGGAGUCAACCUUGGAAUACCACCCUUAGCAUGUUGAGAUUCUAACCUCGACCCAUUAUCUGGGUCAGGGACAGUGUCUGGUGGGCAGUUUGACUGGGGCGGUCGCCUCCCAAAAAGUAACGGAGGCGCCCAAAGGUUCCCUCAGAAUGGUUGGAAAUCAUUCGAAGAGCGUAAUGGUAUAAGGGAGCUUUACUGCGAGACCUACAAGUCAAGCAGUUACGAAAGUAGGACAUAGUGGGCCGGCGAUUCAGAAUGGAAUGGUCGUCGCUUAACGGAUAAAAGUUACCCUGGGGAUAACAGGCUGAUACCACCCAAUAGUUCAC
rnacentral:rRNA from 1 species